rnacentral:lncRNA from 1 species
AAUUAAAUUAGUUAAUUAAUACUCCGCUAGAUGGAGCGCAACAACGAUACAGUUAUCUUUUUUUUGACAACUUCGUGUUGCUGCGAAUCCCUAACGUUUUUUACAUUUUGGGGCCCCACGGUGGUUAAAUAAAUCGAUUAUCAUUCACGAAACCUCGUAUUCGGAUGUGAUACGAAAUUCUCCACCUUCGCAAUGAUCAUUUUGCAAUUAGACGAGCAACCGAUGCUCAUCCAAGCUAUUUUCACCGGCGAAAUAAACACGGUUAGGAAACUAUUCGAAUCAAAAAGAUUAAACUGGGCGAUUAAAAUACAUACAUUAAUAAACAAUUUGAAGAGUAUAAAAAGAUGUAUAACGAAGAAAAAUUGUGUCGCUUAAGAUCGGAUCUUUUUAAAUCUAAAGAUAGACUCGAAGAGUUAGAAAAACAGAACGGAGAGUAAAUACCCUUUUAA